UGCAAAUCAAUAUAAAUUGAUUUAUUAUUUAUUUAUUUAUAUAUUUAUAUUUUAUAAUUUUAUAUUAUUUAUUAAAAAUAAUUAUAUUGUUUAUUUUGUUUUAGUAGGAUUUUUGAAAAAAUAAUAUUUUAUAAUAGUUAAUUUGUAUUGUGAAAGGUUGUUGAAAUAAUUAUGAAAAAUUUUUAUUUUAAAAGAAAAUUUAAUUUAUUGUACCUUGUGUAUCAGGGUUUAUUAAAUAAUAAAUAAAUAUUUAUUUUUCUCGAUUUUAUAAGAGUUAAUAAUUUAUUAAAGUUAAUGUAUUAAAAUUAUUUUUUAUAAAUUAUUUGAAUUGAAAUGUUAUUCGUUUAUAAAGGUAUCUAGUUUUUUUAGAAAUAAAUUUAAUUUACAAAUUCUUAAUUUUAUUUUUUUUUAAAAAAAAAUAAAAUUUAUUAAUUUGAAUAUUUAAAGGGAUAAGCUUUUAAAUAAAUUGAUUAUAAAAGUUUAAUAAAUAUUUAAAAUUAUAUGCAUAGAAUUAGUAAUUAUUAUAAAGUUUGUUUUAAAUUAUUUUUAUAUUUUAUAUUAUUUAUUUAUAUUUUAAUUUUUAUAUAAAAAUUUUUUAUUUAAUUUUGAUUUUAAAUUAAUAAUGAUAAAAUUAGUAUAUUUAUUAUUGUUUAAAUUAUUUUAUAUGAUAAGUUUAUAUAAAGAACUCGGCAAAUAAAAUGCUCGCCUGUUUAACAAAAACAUGUCUUUUUGAGUUAUUUUUAAAGUCUAACCUGCCCAAUGAAUAAUUUUAAAUGGCCGCAGUAUUUUGACUGUGCAAAGGUAGCAUAANCAUUAGUCUUUUAAUUGAAGGCUUGUAUGAAUGGUUGGACGAAGUAUUAACUGUUUCAUAUAAAUUUAAAAUAAAAUUUUAUAUUUUAGUAAAAAAGCUAAAAUUUAAUUAAAAGACGAGAAGACCCUAUAAAUCUUUAUAUUUAAAUUUUAAAUUAAUUUUUUAAAUUAUUUUAAUUAAAUUAAAUUUAAAUAUUUUAUUGGGGUGAUAUUAAAAUUUAAAAAACUUUUAAUUUUAAGUAUACAUUAAUUUAUGAUUUAUUGAUCCAUUAAUAAUGAUUAUAAGAAUAAGUUACUUUAGGGAUAACAGCGUAAUUUUUUUGGAGAGUUCUUAUUAAUAAAAAAGUUUGCGACCUCGAUGUUGGAUUAAGAGAUAAAUUUAGGUGUAGAAGNUUAAAAUUUUAAGUCUGUUCGACUUU
rnacentral:rRNA from 1 species